UAGAUAUAGGCCGCGCCGGAUACGAGUUUGAUUGAAGCUACUUCCGAGAGGGGAACCUGCUGGAUCCCGUUCGGUCCCUGCGCGCCGAUGCGCAGAUUUUGAAUCGCUUCGGCGCUCUUGCGGUAUUCAGGCGCAAGGCGAAGACGGUCGCUGCCGGGCUCGUACAGAUCGCCCGCGCUGUCACCGCCAAUCGCGACACGGAU
rnacentral:misc_RNA from 1 species